UUCGAAAAAUUUCCGAACGUGGAGGUUGUCAAUGAUCAAGCUAUCGGAGAUCUCGAGGCAUUCUAUAAGGCAUCAAAGCAAAGACUUGACGGUGAUCCUGGAUUCAAGGAGAGGGCACAACAAGCGGUGGUCAGUUUCCAGGGUGGGGAAGAGAAGUAUCGAAAGGCAU